rnacentral:rRNA from 1 species
UACGAAGGGGGCUAGCGUUGCUCGGAAUUACUGGGCGUAAAGCGCACGUAGGCGGCUCUUUAAGUCGGAGGUGAAAUCCUGGAGCUCAACUCCAGAACUGCCUUCGAUACUGUAGAGCUUGAGUUCGGGAGAGGUGAGUGGAACUGCGAGUGUAGAGGUGAAAUUCGUAGAUAUUCGCAAGAACACCAGUGGCGAAGGCGGCUCACUGGCCCGAUACUGACGCUGAGGUGCGAAAUCGUGGGGAGCAAACAGG